GUACGUGGCGGAGGCUGU
rnacentral:misc_RNA from 1 species